rnacentral:rRNA from 1 species
GACGAACGCUGGCGGCGUGCUUAACACAUGCAAGUCGAACGGAAAGGCCCUGCUUUUGUGGGGUUCUCGAGUGGCGAACGGGUGAGUAACACGUGAGUAACCUGCCCUUGACUUUGGGAUAACUUCAGGAAACUGGGGCUAAUACCGGAUAGGAGCUCCUGCUGCAUGGUGGGGGUUGGAAAGUUUCGGCGGUUGGGGAUGGACUCGCGGCUUAUCAGCUUGUUGGUGGGGUAGUGGCUUACCAAGGCUUUGACGGGUAGCCGGCCUGAGAGGGUGACCGGCCACAUUGGGACUGAGAUACGGCCCAGACUCCUACGGGAGGCAGCGGUGGGGAAUAUUGCACAAUGGGCGGACGCCUGAUGCAGCAACGCCGGGUGCGGGAUGACGGCCUUCGGGUUGUAAACCGCUUUCGCCUGUGACGAAGCGUGAGUGACGGUAAUGGGUAAAGAAGCACCGGCUAACUACGUG